AUAGAUGAACGUUUUCCUUGCUCGCUGUCUCUGGUAUAGGGGCCUCCGGGGCACCCAACACUCAAGGCGUUAGUUAUUGGUUAGUUAUUGAUUAUUCCAAGUUUGGGGACAUCUGAGUGGGAACAAUUUAUAGCUCGGAAAAAUAUAAAACGGAGUUUUGAAGCUGGCAUGGAAAGUUUUAGAAUAAAUUUUCUAUUUAGUACGGUAGAAGAUGUUUAGACUCUUAGGAUGCUGGAGUGAUGCCGCUUGGGCACUGCCUCUUUGAUUACUUUGUUUCUAUGUACUUGUCUUAUGUGUUUGGGAAUAAUUAGAUAUUACCAAAAUAUUAUUUGAGCACAGUGUUUUUUACCCUUAAAAAGAAACUGACCCUGAAAAGAUGCCCUUGUGGCGUGUCAAGCAAUAAUUUUCUGAAAAGAGCCCGUCAUCAUUUGGGAUCUAUUUUGCUAGUGCCUGACGAGUAGGGUAUUUUUGAUGGGCUAAAACAACUCAGAGAGGAAGCCAGUGUGGUGUAGUGAACAACAGCAUGUUGGACUUGGACUGUGGACACCAAUAUUCAAAUCCUUUUUUAGGGAUGGAGCUCACUGGGUGAUCUUGGACCACUUACCAUCUCUUGGAAAACUAGUGGACUUCACACUGUUAUUGCAAGGAUAAAAUGAAGGAAAAAUCAACAUGUGCUCCUCUAGCCUUACGGGAAGGAUGAAAUGCAAAUAUGAGAAAUAAUAAUUGCCCUUCUCACAGUCAUUGUGUGCCACCAUCCAAAGCAUUAAUUUACUGGCACAGUGAGUCAUAGAAUAUUUUCACAGUCAUAUGAAGGGUAUUAUACCUGUGGGGAAAGCUUUUAAAAGUUUAACUAUAUAUAUCUCUUGGUCUCAUGUAAGCAGCUCACCCAUUAUUUCUGUAGACAUGGGAGAGAGUGGCAGAAUGUACAUCCUCCUACUGCAAUGUACAUGUUCAAUCCCCAACAUCUCCAACUGAAAGAAAUCUCAUAGUGGACUGUGGGAAAGACCUCUUAAGGGACUUUGGUAGUUAAAGUAGAUACUAUUAAUUCAGACAGACCAAGACUGAGCAAGUAAAAGAUAGAGCUUUGAAGAAUAUUUUGGAUUAUAGCUCCCAGCAUGGGCACUGGGCUUGUAGGGUCUAACAGUUUCCAAGUAACAUUUCCAAAUUCUGAUGUAAGGUUCUAUAUUAACAACAUGCAGAGUAGGCUUUUCAGCUGCUUUCACCCAGAGAUAAUACAAACCACAUCUGGAAUCACACUGUGUCCAACUCUAGGCACCUCAAUUUAAGGGAGAUGCUGACAAACUGGAAUAUGUCUAGAGGAGGCAACUAAAAUGAUCAAGGGUCUGGAGAACAAGCCGUACGAAGAGCAGCUGAAAAAUCUGGGCAUGUUUAGCCUGCAGAAGAGAAGGCUGAGAGGAGACAUGAUGGACAUGUAUCAAGAUAUGAGGGGAAGUCGUAGGAAGGAGGGAGCAAGCUUGUUUUUCUGCUGCCCUGUAGACUAUGGAACGCAGAGCAAUGGCCUCAAAUUAUAUAAAAGGAAAUUCCACUUAAACAUUAGGAAGAACUUACUAACUGUGAGAGCUGUUCAGCAGUGGAACUCUCUGCCCCGGAGUGUAGUGGAGGCUCCUUCUUUGGAGGCUUUUUAGCAUAGGCUGGAUGGCCAUCUGUCGGGGAUGCUUUAAAUGCAAUUUUCCUGCUUCUUUGCAGGGGGUUGAACUGGAUAGCCCACGAGGUCUCUAUUAUUCUUUUAGACAUUGUACUGACCCAGGUGUUCAAACAUGCCCAUUUCAAUGUGAGACAGACUACUGCCUAAAUGAGCACAGUACUGGUCCACUAGAUCUAGUAUUUGGGUUUUCCAGUUAGUGGUCUAUGACAGAAUUUAAGCAUUAACUAUUUAUGGUUCUUGUGUGAAAAGCCCAUGUGGCAGUAAGGAACAUCUUCAAAUCAGUCCCUACUUUGGUGCAGUUCUCUGUUUGCUUUAAAACAUUCAUAAAGUCCAAGCAUUAGAAAUAUUCUUUUAAAAGGUUACUCUCCUCAGUUGACUUCCACAUGGGUUCAAAGCUUCAGAAAGAGACAGGACGGAAGGAGCCAGUUCUUCAUUCCAAACCAGCCUCCCCUGGUUUCAGAGGUCAAUCUUUCCUUUUGAAGUAGAAGGCAUACAAUCAGCUAUCUUGACUAGUUUAAUAUUAAAUGUUUUCCCUGCAGUGGAUUGAUUGUCUAGGUCUGCUCUUUGGAAACAUUCACACCAGCCUAACACAUUUUUCAGCGGCUUGGGUUACCAAGAACCUGUUUCACAUCAUUACUAUUUAAAGGUGUCCUGGCAUUUUCAUUGCAGCCUGUUAAUCAAAUCGCUGUCAGCAGAACUGAAGGUGCUUAAUUACCGUGCCAAGCAGCUUCUAUGAAACAUCCAUCUGUAUGUGCUUUGUGUAUGACUGGUGUGGGAUUCACACAGCAAUGACCAGCUAAAGAAUGGAUUCAUCAAGAUGAAGGGGAGGAGGACGCCAUGUCAGAACCCUGCUACUAGAGCCUGGAUGUGGCUCUGAGUUUCAGGGUCACUGACAUUGAUAAGACACCUGCGUCUCAGGACUCGGAGAAGAAACGGCUGCUGGACUUGGCGGGGAAUCUGCGCAGGGUUUUGCUGAGCGGGAAGAGACUUUUCAAAUGAGGGGGAGGGUAUAUAAAGGAUGGUUGGCCGGAGCCUCCCAUUCUUGGCUUUUCUGAUGUCUAUGUUUCCUGCAGUAAAGUUUCUGGUGAUACCACA